rnacentral:rRNA from 1 species
GAUGAACGCUGGCGGCGUGCCUAAUACAUGCAAGUCGAGCGAACGGACGAGAAGCUUGCUUCUCUGAUGUUAGCGGCGGACGGGUGAGUAACACGUGGAUAACCUACCUAUAAGACUGGGAUAACUUCGGGAAACCGUAGCUAAUACCGGAUAAUAUUUUGAACCGCAUGGUUCAAAAGUGAAAGACGGCCUUGCUGUCACUUAUAGAUGGAUCCGCGCUGCAUUAGCUAGUUGGUAAGGUAACGGCUUACCAAGGCAACGAUGCAUAGCCGACCUGAGAGGGUGAUCGGCCACACUGGAACUGAUACACGGUCCAGACUCCUACGGGAGGCAGCAGUAGGGAAUCUUCCGCAAUGGGCGAAAGCCUGACGGAGCAACGCCGCGUGAGUGAUGAAGGUCUUCGGAUCGUAAAACUCUGUUAUUAGGGAAGAACAUAUGUGUAAGUAACUGUGCACAUCUUGACGGUACCUAAUCAGAAAGCCACGGCUAACUACGUG